CCAGUUGUCAUUUAGACUGCUGCUUGUGCUGUGAAAAAUUUCUCAAGUUCACUGUGUCCUUAUAUGACUGUCUCAAUGUCUAAAGCAGGAUAUGGAGAUGGCAGAACCUGAGUCACGUGCUGGUGUCUUCUUUAUACCCAGCGUUUGCCCACACUUCGCAUCCCAGCCAAGUGACUGCUGCUGUUCUUCACUCUCCAAGACAAGAUCUGGGCAGGAUGAGAGAGAUGGGGUCUCGCUAUGUUGCCCAAGCUGGUCUUGAUCUCCUAGCUUCAAGUGAUCCUCCCACCUCAGCCUCCCAAAGUUCUGGGAUUAGAGGCAUGAGUCAUCACACCUGUAUAAGAAGCAAAUUGUUAAAAAAAAAAGGACAAAAGGUUUUGAUAUUAUAGUGAAAUUCAUUGAAAUUCCUAGACAUAGUAUUAAUAGAAUAGUGUCUGUGUUUUGAUACUCAAACUGUUAAUAGUUAUUAACAAGCCAGGGCUAGAACUUUGAUUGUAAUAAUGAAAUAAGGAAAUAACAUUGACUUUUCAUGGUAGAUGUCAACAAUAAUUCUUUUGUGACUCUAUAGGUCUGGAUCUAAGAGAAAAAACAACCCCUCCCCCAAAAAGCUGUAAUUACUCUUCUGGAGGGCACCUUUUUCUCACACAUUGGCAGGUAUAUGCAUAUAUAGAUGCAUACAGAUAGAUAGAUAGAUAGAUUUCCCAUACACAUAUACACACAUACACAUAUAAAGAGAGAUGGAUGCAUGGAUGCCACUGGUUAGAUAUUUAACACCCAUUUCUCUCUAGUCUUCCUUGUAGUCAGUACCCUGAUUUUAUUCACGGAUUUCACUUACAUGUGCUCAGGGAAUAUGAUCCAUUUCCCAGCUCCAGAGGGUAAAUCAUGAUUGAUCUAGUCCAGUCAGGUGAUCUUAUCUAACUUGCCAGUGACUGACUUGGGAAUGGGCAGAUGACUCAAUAUUGGCCAAUGGAACCCAAGGAUCGGUCUGAUGGGAGACUUCAGAGAAAGGUUUCUAUAACUCAGAACAAUAACAACAACAACAAACCAAACCAAACCAAACCAAAAAUAAACAAACAAAAACCACAAAAAAACCCAACAAACAAGCACUAGAGAGCCAGUAUGGAAUUCCUCCCCUUUUCACUGGAUGUUAUCUGUCAUCUAUUGUGCUUAGACUGACAGGAGUUUCAGGGGCCUGAGAGGAGGAAAUACUGACAUGCCAGAAUGAAAGCCAGAAGAACUUGUGUCCUGGUCAUUGUCCUACUGCUAGGCUCUUCGUUUUUUUUUUUUGCCAUUUGUUUUGUCAUGCCUCUAACUGGUUAAGUUGAGUAGAGCUUGACCUGAGAAGCUAGAAUAUGCUGUGUUUAUAUAAUUGUUUAAAAUAUAUCCUGGACAUAUAUUAGGCAAGAGUGCCGACACAGACUGGAAUCUGAGCAGCUAGCUGUGAGGAAGAGAUGUGGUGAGGUAGUUACGACGUAGGCUCUGGAAUCAGUUGUCUCAGCGUGACCCUCUCUUUCAGCCCCUAGUUCCUGGUGGAAUCUGGGAAAACAAGUUAUUCUUUCUGGCCAUUAGUUGCUUAAUAUGUAAAAUGUGGAUAAUAAUAAUCAUAAUACUUGCUUAGAUCUAAAGGAGGAAUGGAGGCAAAGUAUUGAGCCCCUUGGCGGUCAUACAUUAAAUAUCCAGUAAAUGUUAGAUAUUAUAAUUAGUACACUUGAGUAUAUAAAUCUAGGGGAAGAAAACAAUAAAUUUCCUUUGAUCCAUUAUAAUACAACAAAAUAUUGCAUAUUAUCAAGAGAAAGCAAACAAGUUUAUUAACAUGUAUAUUUCAUAUAUAGAUAUGAAAUAGGCUGAGAAUGAGUAAUUCUCAAAGAAGUGGUUUGGAAUUUGGCUUAUAUAGCAUCUUCAACAAAGAAUUAUACAUUUUUAGAGAAGUGACAAGACAAAGGAAAAGGACCUUGAGUCUCAUAAGGCAACAAGUUGUAGGAAGGAAAUGAAUGAGAAAUGAACGGUAGAUAAAAGCUACUUAGUACAGUUGGUUAUGCAGAUGCUUCUGAUGUCAUCUUGAGGCUGACGAGGGUCUAAAGUUGACUUUGGUGAUCAACAUUUGUCACCAGGGGAGAAAGGACACCUUUGUAAACUUAUGUCCUACUUUUAGGCAGUUGUUGGGGGAGUACAGAGAGCUUUCCUCGUAUCUGCUUCUUCUCAAUUGGCUUCAGUUAAAAAUAAUCCCUAUGCCAAAGUAUUAUAUUUUGGGGUGGCAUAUUCUGCUAUCCUUCAUAAAUAAGUGCUCCAGAAAAGGUAUAAAAUAUUUGAAGUGGUUAAAAAAGUUUCUCAAAGAUAAAAAUUCUCUGAGUGCUUGUGAU
rnacentral:lncRNA from 1 species